GAUGCUGCUGGCGGAACCUGCAGGAGCUAGCGGGAUUCGGGGGCGCUAAAGUCGCAGGGGCAGGGCGGGAAGGAAGAUCCGGCGCGGGGCAUAGGAUCCGGAGCUGGAGCCCCCAGAACUCUGUGGCAGGUGCCCCCUCCGCCAUCACCUGAGCUCCAUCGAAUGCCUGAAAUCCUCACCUCUGCAGGGGUGAGUCUCCCAAGAGUCCCCGGAGGCCCAGGCCCAGACCCUGGGGGAUAUGGAAGCGUUCCUCUGUCGUGGCAUGGGAAGCCCCACACUGUUCUUUCCUUGGUGACGGGCGACCCGCCACGUUCAGGCCCCUCCUGGCCCAUCUUCGGGAAGCUGAGGCAGCAGCUUGGAGCUGGAGCCAGAGCCAGAGCCGCUCCAUCCAUGGGGAGCUGCACCUCCUCUGUGCCCACCGCCAUGCUGAGUCAGGCUUUGAGACGCAGUCAUCAUCGGGAAGUGGUUCUUGUUGUGGCCCCAUCCCCCCGUGUUAUUUUCCUACCUUGGAUCACUUAAAAUUUCAAUCUGGCUCUGA
rnacentral:sRNA from 1 species